UACGUAGGGGGCAAGCGUUGUCCGGAUUUAUUGGGCGUAAAGAGCUCGUAGGCGGUUCAGCAAGUCGGGUGUGAAAAAUCUGGGCUCAACCCAGUGGAGCACCCGAUACUGCUGUGACUAGAGUCCGGUAGGGGAGUGCGGAAUUCCCGGUGUAGCGGUGAAAUGCGCAGAUAUCGGGAGGAACACCAAUGGCGAAGGCAGCUCGCUGGGACGGUACUGACGCUGAGGCGCGAAAGCGUGGGGAGCAAACAGG
rnacentral:rRNA from 1 species